rnacentral:rRNA from 1 species
GUAAUACACGAGUGGUGAACGUAUUCAUAGUGAUUAGGCGUGAAGGAUGUCUAGGUGGUUAAAAUAACUUGUUUAAAUAUAAAUAAUAGAGAAAUAUUUAGCACAACGUAUUAUUUAUUCUUGAGUAUUAAAUUGUAAUUUAAUUUGUAGAUAAAGCGAUGAAAUGCACCUAAAUUUGCAAAUUAACCAUGUUCACGACAAUUACUUUUUUAUACUGACGCUGAACCAUGAAAGUAUGGGAAACAAAUCGGAUUUGAGACCCUAUUAGUCCAUACUGUAAACUUUAGAUAUUAAUAUUUACGUGAAAUAUCUCGUCUUGAUAGUAUAGUCGCAAGGCUAAAAUUAAACAGAAUUGGGGGGGAAUUGUGACGAACGGUGGAGUAUGUGGUUUAAUACGAUAAUCCGCGCAAAACCUUACCAAUGUUUUUUUAUAAUUAAUUGUUUAACCUUUUUUUUGAUUUUUAUAAUCAAAUUAAUUAUUAAUUUAUAAGCAUAAGUGCUGCAUGGCUGUCGUCAGUUUGUACUUUGAUGUGUCGGAUUAAGUUCUAUAACAAACGCAACCCUUAAAAAUAAUGAUCAAAAUAAUUUAAAUGAUUCUUAAUAAAAUAUCUUCUAGAAAUAUUAUAAAAUUUAUCUUCUAUAUAAAUAUUAACUGGUAGAGGUCAAGUCCACAUGGCCUGUAUACAUUGGGCGACACACGUACUACAAUGGUAAAAACAAAUAGAAACAAUGAAGCAAUUUAGAGUUUAGCUAUAAAAAUUAUCAUGUUCGGAUCCUAGACUGUAACUUGUCUGAGUAAAGAUGGAAUCGUUAGUAAUCAUAUACAAGUUUGAUAUGGUGAAUGUAAAGUCAGUUCUUGCACACACCGCCCAUCGCACUCGGAGAAUUGGGUGUAGUAUAAUUGCUAGUUAUAAGUCCUUUUUAAUACGUAUGAAAUAUUUUUUUUUUUUUAAUAAAUAUAAAGUGAUAAGCAAUAUAAUAUGUUUGGCUGUUUGAGUUA